CCUGCCUCAGCCUCCUGAAUAUCUGGGAUUACAGGCCAAAGAUUAUUAAUGCAUGAUGUGUAACAAUUUCAGGCAAAGGCAAUCAUCAGAUAUUAAGAAAGGGAUCAAGAAAUCGAGGAGGCAAAAGAACAGAAGAAGUAAAUACCUAUAGCUUGCCCAGAAGGUAAGAAGAAAAAGAAUGCCAAAAAUGUGGACCAUUUUAUUAUUUAGUUAAGCAUUAUAGUACUGCAAAUCCUUUUUCCACCAUCUUUUCAAACUUUUGCCGUGACAGAAUUGUUUUUGAUACCCACAUAGAAAAGAUUAAAUGAGUAGAAAAGAAGAUCAAUAUGAAAAAUUUAAAGGAACUGUCAUUUUUCAGCCUAGGAAGAGAGAGAAUGCCGAAAGACUUCUAAUGUAUGGAGUUUAAACAUCAGAUGGUGAUUGAUUGCUAUUAAUUUAUGUCAGCAAAGGAGGAGAAGAAAUACGUAAAACUGCCUCUGAAGAAUUUACAUUAAACACCAAAAGAAUCUGACUCUGAAAAUGAAGAAACAAGGAAUAUUGUUUGUUUUGGGAAUCAAAAAAAAAAAAAACUUCCCAUUUGAGUACACAAUUUCCUAAACAAGAUACAUGAUAAUUCCAUACACUAUGCUUUCCGAAGAAACUUUGUAAAACGUAUUUUCAUUAUUCAAAACUUGAAAACACAGAAACAAUAUGAUGCAAAAAAUUAUCUUUAGCAUUAUUCCACUAAGAUAAUUCAUUUUAACAUCCAUAUAUUCAUUAUUAUGUAAAAUACCUAUCAGUAUGUGGGUAUAUCUUUGUGUGUAUAUUUUAACAAAACAAAAUUCAAUAAAAAUUGAAAUACAGAAAUGACAAAAACACACAAAAAAUAUAAAUUAUUUCCAUUGUAGCAUAUAUUACCUUUUUCACCUAACAUUAUACUGUAGGAAUAUAUUCUUUCAUCAUUCAAUGCUUUUGAAAAUAUAAUAAUAUUCCAUUUUAAGGACAUGCUAUAAUUUAGUUCAUUAGUUUUUAAACUUUUAGAUUAUCUCAUUUUGUCAUCAUUUAAAAAAAGUGUUCCUGGAUGUCCUUUUGCAUAGACUUUUGAAUGUAUUUCUGACUAUUUUCUUAACCUGUCCUGUACUUCUGCAAGUAGAACUGCUUGAGCAGAGAUUAGGAGCAAUUUUAAGGUUUUUCAAAAAUCUUGACAAACUAUUCUGCAGGAAAAAUGUAUCUUGUUACCAUCAGCAUUUUUAAGUAACUAGUGACUAAUUGUAAAAAUAAUUGUGUUUCCUUGUAUUUAAGCCUUGCGCUAUAGAUUUUAAAAAUUUGUCCUUUUUUUUUUUUCAUUUGUAAAAAAAAGCCAUCUAAAAGACCUUAGAACCUGGUAUCAGCUGAAGCUUACUAAACCAUAUCAAGAAGAUCAUGUCAUUCUCAAGAAAAGCAUGUUUCAAAUAAAAAGGAAAUGUCA
rnacentral:lncRNA from 1 species